AAUAAGUGCUAUUUUGCACUGUUAUAUUCAACAUUUGAUCGUUCGCUUUAUUUGUUUUUUUGUAUAAUUAGUAUUUUUUGUGUUAUUAGAUGAUAAAACAUGAAUAUUGCUUUAUGUGUGACUAUUUUUUAAAAAAAAUUCAUAAAAUUUUUAAAUAAUAUGGACGGUUAAAUGUUAGACACGAAUACCUAUGGUUGUAUUUAUU
rnacentral:pre_miRNA from 1 species